UGGCCGGUAGCUCAAUUGGCAGAGCACUGCACUGAAAAUGCAGAGGUCGAAGGUUCGAAUCCUUCCCGGCCAG
rnacentral:tRNA from 1 species